GUCCACCAACAACAGGCAGUGAAGAGCCUGCCAGUAAGUCACACACUCACUGGUCAACGUCAGGGCCAUUAUCAACCAUUUCAACCCCAAGAUUGAGUCCUACGCUGCAGUGAACCACAUCUCCCAGCUGUCUGAGGACCAGGUUUUGGAGGUGGUUCGGUCCAACUAUGACACGCUGACCCUGAAGCUGCAGGAUGGUCUGGACCAGUUUGAGAGAUACUCUGAACAACCCAAGGAGGCUGCCUUCUUUAAAGACCUGGUGAGAGGGAACAGUAUAAACACACACACAGUACAUGGGACAUGAUACAUGCUUGUAUUGGUAAAGUUGGUGUCUCACUCAUAGUCCUGCACAAUUAGUUGAAUUCACAUCAAAUCGUCAAAAAUAUUGACAUAUUUUGAA